rnacentral:lncRNA from 1 species
CUGCUGAGGGAGCCAAUCAGAAUGAUGAAAGCCAAUUUUUCAAUGCUGAAAUUAUACUAAGAAUAAUUACUGUUUGAUCAUGUCUGACUAAAAUGUGGGUUGGUCUGAUAUAUUGUGAGACCAAGUUUCAAAUCUGUUUACAAUGUUAAGGUAGCAAUAUUUUCUAUUUACCUGAAAAUCUCUUAGUCCAAGAAGAAUGAUGUCCCCAGCAUUUAUCCAAACCUAGAAAAAUAUUGAAAAAAAACAACACUAUUAACCUACUGAGCACCAGUGCUACCCCCUUGAUGAGUAAGAAGGGGUUCAGUCGGGAGCAAUGCCAGUGCUCUCCUCUUGACUAGUACAAGGGAUGAUUCCAGCAAUCCAGCUAUAGACUAAGUUUUGAUCUAGGCAAGAAGAACAAAAUCCAUCACCACAGCUAGAACGAGCAUGUUAAAAUUAGUAAUAUUGCAAAGUUUGGCCCUGAAAUGUUGUAAAGUGAAGAAAAUAUAGCCCUGCAAAUUGUGUAUUACGCAUAGGAAAAUGCACCACAUUUAGGCGAAAGUGGUGCAUUUUCCUGUGCGUA